GCGGUGGUAAAGUGGUGGAAAGAUAAUUCCGAAAAGCGCCCCUCAGCGCCCACAGGCGCCGAAAACGACCGUGUUUUAAUCUGCUUGCCAUGCAGAAGGUCGUGGGUUCGAAUCCCAUCGCCCGCU
rnacentral:tRNA from 1 species